rnacentral:rRNA from 1 species
GUGAGGAAUUUUCCGCAAUGGGCGAAAGCCUGACGGAGCAAUGCCGCGUGAAGGAUGAAGGCCUAUGGGUUGUAAACUUCUUUUCUUAGAGAAGAAUAUUGACGGUAUCUGAGGAAUAAGCAUCGGCUAACUCCGUGCCAGCAGCCGCGGUAAUACGGAGGGUGCGAGCGUUGUCCGGAUUUAUUGGGUUUACAGUGUGCGUAGGCUUGAAGGUCAGUCAGCGGUGAAAAGCUGUCGCUUAACGAUAGUCUUGCCGCAGAUACGUCAUUUCUUGGAUGAGGAGGAGGCCACUGGAACGGAUGGUGUAGCGGUGAAAUGCAUAGAUAUCAUCCAGAACACCGAUUGCGAAGGCAGGUGGCUGUACCUUAAGCGACGCUGAUGCACGAAAGCAUGGGGAGCAAACAGGAUAAGAAACCCGAGUAGUCC